CAGUAGCCACGGUAAUACGUAGGGUGCGAGCGUUAAUCGGAAUUACUGGGCGUAAAGCGAGCGCAGACGGUUAUUUAAGCAGGAUGUGAAAUCCCCGGGCUUAACCUGGGAACUGCGUUCUGAACUGGAUAGCUAGAGCGUGUCAGAGGGGGGUAGAAUUCCACGUGUAGCAGUGAAAUGCGUAGAGAUGUGGAGGAAUGCCGAUGGCGAAGGCAGCCCCCUGGGAUAACACUGACGUUCAUGCUCGAAAGCGUGGGUAGCAAACAGGAUUAGAUACCCGUGUAGUACCUGUCUCUUAUAC
rnacentral:rRNA from 1 species